rnacentral:rRNA from 1 species
GACGAACGCUGGCGGCGUGCCUAAUACAUGCAAGUCGAACGCUUCUUUCCUCCCGAGUGCUUGCACUCAAUUGGAAAGAGGAGUGGCGGACGGGUGAGUAACACGUGGGUAACCUACCCAUCAGAGGGGGAUAACACUUGGAAACAGGUGCUAAUACCGCAUAACAGUUUAUGCCGCAUGGCAUAAGAGUGAAAGGCGCUUUCGGGUGUCGCUGAUGGAUGGACCCGCGGUGCAUUAGCUAGUUGGUGAGGUAACGGCUCACCAAGGCCACGAUGCAUAGCCGACCUGAGAGGGUGAUCGGCCACACUGGGACUGAGACACGGCCCAGACUCCUACGGGAGGCAGCAGUAGGGAAUCUUCGGCAAUGGACGAAAGUCUGACCGAGCUACGCCGCGUGAGUGAAGAAGGUUUUCGGAUCGUAAAACUCUGUUGUUAGAGAAGAACAAGGACGUUAGUAACUGAACGUCCCCUGACGGUAUCUAACCAGAAAGCCACGGCUAACUACGUG